rnacentral:rRNA from 1 species
UGAGGAAUAUUGGUCAAUGGACGAGAGUCUGAACCAGCCAAGUAGCGUGAAGGAUGACUGCCCUAUGGGUUGUAAACUUCUUUUAUACGGGAAUAAAGUGAGGCACGUGUGCCUUUUUGUAUGUACCGUAUGAAUAAGGAUCGGCUAACUCCGUGCCAGCAGCCGCGGUAAUACGGAGGAUCCGAGCGUUAUCCGGAUUUAUUGGGUUUAAAGGGAGCGUAGGCGGACGCUUAAGUCAGUUGUGAAAGUUUGCGGCUCAACCGUAAAAUUGCAGUUGAUACUGGGUGUCUUGAGUACAGUAGAGGCAGGCGGAAUUCGUGGUGUAGCGGUGAAAUGCUUAGAUAUCACGAAGAACUCCGAUUGCGAAGGCAGCUUGCUGGACUGUAACUGACGCUGAUGCUCGAAAGUGUGGGUAUCAAACAGGAUUAGAUACCCUGGUAGUCCACACAGUAAACGAUGAAUACUCGCUGUUUGCGAUAUACAGCAAGCGGCCAAGCGAAAGCAUUAAGUAUUCCACCUGGGGAGUACGCCGGCAACGGUGAAACUCAAAGGAAUUGACGGGGGCCCGCACAAGCGGAGGAACAUGUGGUUUAAUUCGAUGAUACGCGAGGAACCUUACCCGGGCUUAAAUUGCAACUGACGGAUUUGGAAACAGAUCUUCCUUCGGGCAGUUGUGAAGGUGCUGCAUGGUUGUCGUCAGCUCGUGCCGUGAGGUGUCGGCUUAAGUGCCAUAACGAGCGCAACCCUUAUCUUUAGUUACUAACAGGUCAUGCUGAGGACUCUAGAGAGACUGCCGUCGUAAGAUGUGAGGAAGGUGGGGAUGACGUCAAAUCAGCACGGCCCUUACGUCCGGGGCUACACACGUGUUACAAUGGGGGGUACAGAAGGCAGCUACACAGCGAUGUGAUGCUAAUCCCAAAAGCCUCUCUCAGUUCGGAUUGGAGUCUGCAACCCGACUCCAUGAAGCUGGAAUCGCUAGUAAUCGCAGAUCAGAAUGCUGCGGUGAAUACGUUCCC